rnacentral:rRNA from 1 species
AUUGAACGCUGGCGGCAGGCCUAACACAUGCAAGUCGAGCGAGCGGCGGACGGGUGAGUAAUGUCUGGGAAACUGCCUGAUGGAGGGGGAUAACUACUGGAAACGGUAGCUAAUACCGCAUACCAUCAGAUGUGCCCAGAUGGGAUUAGCUAGUAGGUGGGGUAACGGCUCACCUAGGCGACGAUCCCUAGCUGGUCUGAGGGGAUGACCGGCCACACUGGACGUGAGACACGGUCCAGCCUCCUACGGAGGGCAGCAGUGGGGAAUAUUGCACAAUGGGCGCAAGCCGGAGGCAGCCAUGCCGGGUGGAUGAAGAAGGCCUUCGGGUUGUAAAGUCCUUUCAGCGGGGAGGCGGUACCCGAAGAAGAAGCACCGGCUAACUCCGUGCCAGCAGCCGCGGUAAUUC